ensembl:lncRNA
AAAUACCACAUGUGCGUAAGUACCAUGCUCGUUCACAUUCAUGGUCAUUAGCAUUCGGAAACGCCUCCAAUUAACCAUAUAUGGUGACAACACUUCCCUUUAAAAAUUACGUGAUUGUGUUUUUUCCUCACUGCAAUAAUGGCAAAGAGAGCAAAGAAGAGUAACUUCACAAACACAGAAUUAGAGAUACUUGUAAAUGAAGUUGAAUCCAACCAACAGAUAUUGUUUAGUUCAUUCACUGCAGGAGGAAUUACAAAUAAAAGAAAAAAUGCUGCAUGGGAGAAUGUCACCAAUGCAGUUAAUUCCGUUGGGUCUGAGGAGAGAACUGUCCCAGAAAUAAAAAAAAAAUGGUUUGAUAUUAAAGUAUUGGCUAAAAAACGUGUCACAGCACACAGACGAGAAAUGUCCGCAACUGGAGGAGGACAGACAACAACGGAACUUUCCCCAUUGGACAACCGCAUAGCCUGCAUCAUCGGAGACACGGCUCUGUCCGGGAUUACUAAGGACGGUGACACUGAUGCUCUUGCGACAGAACAAACCGGGCCAUCUAACACCCAAAGUGAAGCGACACCCGUUGUGCCUGAGGAGCUUGAGGAGCCGGGCCCAUCCAUUGCCCCUUCCAUGCGCCGUGCGCCAAGAGUGCUGAGUGAGGCGGUGCUACAAAAUCAAGAGGAAACAACAAAAUCCAUUAAUGACCUAAAGGAUCAACUGAGCAACAUAACGAAUGUAUUGAUUCAAAUCAACGAGUCUCUGAAACAGAUUGCCUCUUGCGCAAAUACAAUUGCUAAUAAACCAUAAACCGCUGACUAAUGUGAUUUCAGUUAUUUGUUUCCACGAAGCUGCAAAACACAAAAUGAAAUCGCUGUAAUGUUUCUGCACUCGACCAAUGGCCAGACUUACCUAAAAUGUCUGUAUGAUCCUCUGUCUUGUCUGAAUGCCAGCGGCAUUAGGAGGUGGCAGGGGCACUGCAUCGGGCAUAGGGCCGUCUGGUCUUGGGGGUUCCUGCAGAGGGAUGCCCUGUCUGAUGGCCAAGUUGUGUAGCACACUGCAAGCCAUGAUGAUUUUGCAUGCUUUUUCUGGCUGAUACUGCAGUGUCCCUCCCGUGCUUGACAGACACAGCCAUCGUCCUUUCAGCAGGCCUA